rnacentral:rRNA from 1 species
GAUGAACGCUGGCGGCGUGCCUAACACAUGCAAGUCGAACGAAGUAUAUAUAGGAAGUCUUCGGAUGGAAUAUAAAUAACUUAGUGGCGGACGGGUGAGUAACGCGUAAGUAAUCAACCUGUGACACACGGAUAACUGAUAGAAAUGUCAGCUAAUACGAGAUGAACUGUUUAAAUUGGGAAAUGGAAACAGCAAAGCGAAAGCGGUCACAGACGAGCUUGCGUCUGAUUAGCUAGUUGGUGGGGUAAGAGCCUACCAAGGCGCUCGAUCAGUAGCCGGCCUGAGAGGGUGAACGGCCACAUUGGAACUGAGACACGGUCCAAACUCCUACGGGAGGCAGCAGUGGGGGAUAUUGCACAAUGGGGGGAACCCUGAUGCAGCAACGCCGCGUGAGUGAAGAAGGCCCUAGGGUCGUAAAGCUCUGUCGUAUGGGAAGAAACAAAUGACUUACCAUACAA